rnacentral:rRNA from 1 species
CCUACGGGUGGCUGCAGUGGGGAAUAUUGGACAAUGGGCGUAAGCCUGAUCCAGCCAUGCCGCGUGUGUGAAGAAGGCCUUCGGGUUGUAAAGCACUUUCAGUGGGGAAGAAAGCCUUGGGGCUAAUACCCUCGAGGAAGGACAUCACCCACAGAAGAAGCACCGGCUAACUCCGUGCCAGCAGCCGCGGUAAUACGGAGGGUGCGAGCGUUAAUCGGAAUUACUGGGCGGAAAGCGCGCGUAGGCGGUCUGAUAAGCCGGUUGUGAAAGCCCCGGGCUCAACCUGGGAACGGCAUCCGGAACUGUCAGGCUAGAGUGCAGGAGAGGAAGGUAGAAUUCCCGGUGUAGCGGUGAAAUGCGUAGAGAUCGGGAGGAAUACCAGUGGCGAAGGCGGCCUUCUGGACUGACACUGACGCUGAGGUGCGAAAGCGUGGGUAGCAAACAGGAUUAGAUACCCCAGUAGUC